GACAUUUGAAUCUGAAAUAACAUAAUUAAUUUCAUUUAUGCCAAGAAAGACAUAUUUUAGUUUGCCGGUUUGAUCAAGCCGUUUUGGUAUAUGUACUGUGCUCCAAAAUAAUGAUAACUCCCUGUUGUGUAUUGCGAGCUCCAGCGAUGAGCGUGAGUGACCCGCGAUGGUCAAAUGUGUGAGAAUUUCUGUGUGUUGCAGAGAGUUAGCGGCUGAGCACUAAUCUUCAGAACAUAUUUAAUGUUACGAAGGACUCAGCCAAUAAAGAGUGGUGAACACUAUCUUCUCUUUAUCAUUUGUACCAAAACUUUCUGAAGAUUAUUUGAAGAGUUGGUACAGAGAAGAAAUGAGUGAUUCAGAUGAAUUAGCGUUGGAACUUGAUGGAGUUGGACAGUUGUGGAAUGGAAGUUCACAAGAGGCUGAAGGUGCAGGUGUUACCAAUGUAAAAGAGAGAAUGCAGAUUGUGAAAGCAAAGAGAAAGGUGAUUAAAGGGAAAAUUACCAGAACUAUAAAUAGACUUAAAGACAACAUGCAAAC